GUGAGGUGGAGGAGCUGGAGGCUGAGGCCCAUCCUCGACUGGCUGCUGGGAGGGGACUGCAUUCCUCUGCUCCCUUCCACCCUGGGGUGGAGCCCAGUCUGAAGCUGCAGGUUUGCUUUCAUGUGUGCUGGUGAUGAGCAUGCAAUAUCCAGGAUUCCCUAAUUUCCAAGGAAGAAAAGCUGAUUAUCUUCGGAGGCAGCCUCAUACAGAAGUGCAGACCCCCACCAGCCUUCCGCUCCAGACUGGAUCAAUGCAGAGAAGUGCUCUUUGAUGGACUUUCAGGCCCUGUGAUCUCCCAGCCCUGGGGGUUUAAAGGAUGAGCAUAUCAAUCCAGGACCACUGAACUGCAUUUCCAUUGCAUGAGGGCUCCUCCUCCUGGCUUUGUCCGGACAAACUCGGCUCCUCCUACUUUUGUCACUAUUCUUUCAUGCUUUGUUUAGCAAACACAAAAAAAGCUUUGUUUGUUGCUGGGUCUUUUUUAAGCUUUGCAUAAAACAGUUUAAAGUGCCGUAAUGCUGUGUACCUGUGAUCACCUUCAGGGUCAAAAUCAGUUUACAACAGAUUAACCUAUUUAUCUUUUUUUUUUUUUUUUUUUUUCCUCCUGAGUUUUAAUUUGCACAAAUGCAGAUUGGUGUUCUGAUGAGUACAGCCUUCCUACUUUACUUCUGACUUUGCAAGAAUCCCUAACUGUUGUUUUCCCUGGGAACAAUCUCCUAGAAGACAGCACAUGUGUGCCUGCCUUUCUUUAUUGCUGUUGUCCUGCUGUGUUUCAGCAUACUGAGCAAGAAGAAAACAGUCCACACGUAAUUUGUAGAAGUUUUGGUAACACUGGUGCAAUUAUUUUACUUUCCCUAAUAGUUGGCUUUAAAAAUGUGCAUGUUUAGACUUAGAUUUUGAUUUCAGCUGUAAAGUUUAUUACAAUUACAAUGUAAUAGACCCUCUGCUCAUUUCUGGUAUCAUCUACCUGUAAAACACACAAACAAAAAAACCCUGCUGUGUGAUAUAGCCCCUUCUGCCCACUGCAUUGGAGUAGUUUGAAUCUAAGUCAUGAAGUGAGAAAUGCUCAUUGAGUUUUGUGCAUCUUUAGCAGUGAAGAUCGAUGAAAUAACUCACCCAGUGGUGUGAUGGAUUCUUCAUUAUUUAUCAUCUUUAAAGCCAUUGCCCAUGCAGAAGAGCUGAGUCCACGGGAGAAUAAAUUCAUAGUUACUCAUGUUAAACUGGAAUUAGCACUCUAGGCAAUGUUGCAAACAACCCCCAAACCACUGCAUGCCCACACCUUAAAAAUCCAUGAAUUGAAUGGUUCCCCAAAUUGCCAAAGAAGCAGAGCCCUAAGGGAAGGAUGUUUUCUGGUACUGUAUUGCCAUAUCACACCCAAAGUCAUCAGAGAUGCUGGUGACUUUACGUUAGAUUAAAUGGUGGAAUCCGGCACUUUAGGAGACUGUCAUUUGUGUUAAUCCUUGUUUGCAGAACUCAAACUACUCUUUUUACAUUUCCCCAGAAAAAAAGUAAAAAAAAAUUGCCUUCCCUACCCAAGAACUGUCACCGCACUCCU